AUGGGAUUUUUGGGUCCCUCCCCUCAGGCCAGGCCAGUCCUGGGUGGAGCUUUCGGCCAUCUUGGCCUCGGGGGCGGAGCCGGAAGUGCUGGUGAGUGGGCGUGGCCUCGGGGUGGGCGUGGCCUGAGCUGGUCACACCCCAAAUCCCAUCAAUCCCCCCCAGGUGUCAAUCAAGGCUUUAUGCAAAUCCAGGGAGGCGGAGCUACAGUGGGCCCAUCCCCCCAGGGAGCCGCAGGAGGAGCUGGCUGAGGCUCACGAUUGGCUGGAGCAGGCUGAGGUGGGCGUGGCUUGCAGG
rnacentral:lncRNA from 1 species